AGAGUUUGAUCAUGGCUCASAGUGAACGCUGGCGGCGUGCCUAACACMUGCMAGUCSAACSAUGAUAGGAAGCUUGCUUCCYUGAUUAGUGGCGCACGGGUGAGUAUACCAUAGAUAAUGUACCUCUUAGUUCGGGAUAGCCACUGGAAACGGUGAUUAAUACCGGAUACUCCUUCUCGUUAUAAGACGAGUCGGGAAAGUUUUUUCGCUAAGAGAUCAGUCUAUGUCCUAUCAGCUAGUUGGUGAGGUAAUGGCUCACCAAGGCUAUGACGGGUAUCUGGUUUGAGAGGAUGAUCAGACACMCUGGAACUGAGACACGGUCCAGACUCCUACGGGAGGCAGCAGUGAGGAAUAUUGCACAAUGGAGGAAACUCUGAUGCAGCAACGCCGCGUGGAGGAUGACGCAUUUCGGUGUGUAAACUCCUUUUAAGAGGGAAGAUAAUGACGGUAC
rnacentral:rRNA from 1 species